GAUCCUGGCUCAGGAUGAACGCUAGCUACAGGCUUAACACAUGCAAGUCGAGGGGCAGCGGGAAGUCAGCUUGCUGACUUUGCCGGCGACCGGCGCACGGGUGAGUAACACGUAUCCAACCUCCCGCAUACUCGGGAAUAGCCUUUCGAAAGAAAGAUUAAUGCCCGAUGGUUUCAAGGGAUUGCAUGGUAUCUUGAAUAAAGAUUCAUCGGUAUGCGAUGGGGAUGCGUUCCA
rnacentral:rRNA from 1 species